AGAGUGAACGCUGGCGGUAGGCCUAACACAUGCAAGUCGAACGGCAGCACAGUAAGAGCUUGCUCUUAUGGGUGGCGAGUGGCGGACGGGUGAGGAAUACAUCGGAAUCUACCUUUUCGUGGGGGAUAACGUAGGGAAACUUACGCUAAUACCGCAUAAGACCUUCGGGUGAAAGCCGGGGACCUUCGGGCCUGGCGCGGAUAGAUGAGUUCCGAUGUCGGAUUAGCUUG
rnacentral:rRNA from 1 species